rnacentral:tRNA from 3 species
GCCCCUGUGGCGGAAUUGGUAGACGCGCCUGACUCAAAAUCAGGUGGAUUCACAUCCGUGCUGGUUCGAGUCCGGCCAGGGGCACCA